ACAUUAGCAUUGGAGGGUAAUUGUUUAAAUCAUUGUUCAUCUUGCACGUGUGACAUUUUCUAGCAAUACAUUGAAAAAUUGGAGAUGCUAGUAGAAACUAGUUUGCACACAAUCAAUAUUUGGACAUAAGACUCGUUGACAGUGAACUAUUUCAUGCUCCAUGGCGGUUUAUAGAACGCUAGGUAUUGACAAAUAUCAGUGUUUUGCGCUAUAAUGCUUAGACUCUUCAAAAAUAUCCGUUGGUCGCCACAAUGGAUCCUUUUUCUUCGUCAUUUUCAUCUUCGACCUCGUCCCAAAAGUGUAUGUCGAACGAAAUUGAGAUCCAAAAGCAGAGGGACCGAAAAGCUUAGCAAGAAGUGUGAGAGAGAGGGGUUGCACUUUGUAAUGGAGAUAUUUAGGAAACAGUAAUGAAACCCGUUCAUGAACAAUUAGAUGAAAAAUGAUAUGUCCUUUUGGAGUCAACAAUCAGAUACAAACAAGUCUAAUGAGAACACAGGGGUCCACAAAUGAACAGUGCAAUUACAUCCUCUCUUUAGAGGGAAUGUAGGAUAUAUAAAUGAAAAUAGGUUUGGGGAUCAGGGAAAAUGACAAAAUUAAGGACAUGAGAAAAGCUAUUGACUGUUCUCAACAAAUUUCACCGAAAUGAUCAGACUGCACAGAUCCUCUGUCCAUCACACAUUUCCUCAAUUAUAACAUAAGGAAAAAGAUAUAUGUACCGAUAGGGAUAACCGAACCGUGUCCCCCCUCUCACGAAUCAUGUGGGCCCCACGUGUAUUUAAAAAAUCCGAGCCGUGGUUCCCAUCCUAUAUUAUGAGUAUUGGGUAAAAGAUUAGGUAAAAUUUUUAUGUACAUGUAGCAUGGUCCAUAAUAUAAGUGGGUUUAAUUAACUAACGCAUUUUAUUUAAUGGGGCUAUACACCCUUUUAAUAAAGGCAAAAGUCCCAUUUUCUCCAUUCUAACGUAACGUGUUUAAUUAACUAAGACAAUUUAUUUAAAAACUGAAUUUAAUUAAAGUAAAACGGCACAGUGUGGACUUAAUCAAAACAACGUUGCAGGCAAUUUCAAUUUCAGCGAAUGAGAUAUGCUACACCUGACACUUAGGCCGGGAUGAAUCCAGGAAUCUUUUCCAUUGCCUUCACUUCCUCAGGUGAUAAUCUAGCAGCAAAACCUUUAAAAAUAAUAUCAUAGGCAUGGAUAAUGCGAGAUUCCUCAUCUGCUGUGGUUUUGGGCAAAAAUGUUUGAUACUAGCUAAGCAGAUCAUCUGAAGAAUUGGGAGGCGGAUCAACGCGAACAAUAUAUGGUAGCAGAUUACUGUUGCAUAGGAGAGAGAAGAAAAUACAGAAGAAAGUAAGAAACUGCAAGAAACCCAUCAUUCUUUGUGAUUACUGCAAAAGAAAGUAAUAUGUAUGGAAUGCAAUGAAGCUCACAUUAUAGGCGUGCACUAUAAUGACAGUUUCCAGGAUUAAUAACAGAAAACACCCCAGCAAUUGGCUGCCAAGACUUUAUUUUUCACCAGCCAUCAUAUUUCCUUACUCCACCUACUGCCCUAAAUUCCCAACACACAGUGCACAUGUCCACAAGAAAAUACCAAAUAGAUCUGUACUGUCUCUCCAUAGAUUUUAAACAUAUAAUUAUUCAAGAAAGGGCCAAAAUCCCAUAAUUUUAUGUAAAAUAAAUAAAUAAAAAUUGAAGGGAUUUGAUCUAGUUUUCAUACACACGCAACUAGAGGAAAAAAAUGUUAGAAUCCCAUAAAUUAUCGAGGAAAAAAAUGAGGAAAAUUGAUCGGAUAAACGCCCUGUUACGGACGAGUUAAUUUUGAAAAUUUUCCUGCACAUGGAUCCGGAGAUGGUGCUCCGGGGGCUCGGCGGCCAUCCCCUCCAUUUAGGUGCCUCCGCCAGUCCCAUCUCAAUUGACCUCCGCCGGUUUAUCCAUGUUCAUAACAAGUUCUUCCACAAGAGCAUCUCAGUCUCGCCCCAUGUCCAAUCUGUAAGGAACCAAAAUCAGACUCUAUAGCUUAGAUCUCAUAAACAUAACCCAAGAAAUACACAAAUUUCAUCGCACUAAUACCCCAAAAAAUCAUAAUUGAAUGAAUAUCAAAGAGUCCAACCAAACGAGUAACAAGGGCAUCACAGCCAUUGAGAGAAAGCACAAUUCAGGUUUUAACUAAUCGGCGAAUGAAAAGGAGGAAACGGUUUCCACAAUGACUUUUGACCCACAUUUAAGAAAAAAUGCUUAAAAUGUAAAUAAAAGACAAAUGGGCUAAAAUACCCACGAAGAAAAGAAAAGAGAAGAGAAUAGAAGAGAAAAAAAUAAUAAUAAUAAUUUGUGUAGUGGCUCUAAAUUGUGUAAUCUGUAACGAAAAUACAGAGCUGACUCUUAGAAAAUUGAGGCCCUAGGCAACUAAUA
rnacentral:lncRNA from 1 species